GCGAUCGUAGUACAAUGGUAGUAUGCGGCCUUCCCAAGGCUGAGACGUGGGUUCGAUUCCCAUCGGUCGCUCCA
rnacentral:tRNA from 2 species